GAUGAACGCUGGCGGCGUGCCUAAUACAUGCAAGUCGAACGAACAGAUGAGGAGCUUGCUCCUCUGACGUUAGCGGCGGACGGGUGAGUAACACGUGGAUCACCUACCUAUAAGACUGGGAUAACUUCGGGAAACCGGAUCUAAUACCAGAUAAUAUAUUGAUCCGUAUGAUUCAAUAGUGAAAUGCGGUUUUACUAUCACUUAUAGAUGGAUCCGGGCGGCAUUAGCUAGUUGGUAAGGUAACGUCUUACCAAGGCAACGAUGCGUAGCCGACCGGAGAGGGGGAUCGGCAAACCUGGACCGGAGACACGGCCCAGACUCCUCGGGGAGGCAGCAGAAGGGAACCUUCCGCAAUGGGGGAAAGCCGGACGGAGCAACGCGGCGGGAGUGAUGAAGGUCUUCGGUUCUUAAACCCUGGUUAUUAGGGAAGAACAAAGGUGUAAGUAACUGUGCACGUCUUGACGGUACCUAAUCAGAAAGCCACGGCUAACUACGUG
rnacentral:rRNA from 1 species